UACGUAGGGCGCGAGCGUUGUCCGGAAUUAUUGGGCGUAAAGAGCUCGUAGGCGGUCUGUCGCGUCGGCUGUGAAAACCCGGGGCUCAACCCCGGGCCUGCAGUCGAUACGGGCAGACUAGAGUGCGGUAGGGGAGACUGGAAUUCCUGGUGUAGCGGUGAAAUGCGCAGAUAUCAGGAGGAACACCGGUGGCGAAGGCGGGUCUCU
rnacentral:rRNA from 1 species